rnacentral:rRNA from 1 species
AGAGCGAACGCUGGCGGCAGGCCUAAUACAUGCAAGUCGAACGGACCCUUCGGGGUUAGUGGCGGACGGGUGAGUAACACGUGGGAACGUGCCCUUUGGUUCGGAACAACUCAGGGAAACUUGAGCUAAUACCGGAUGUGCCCUUCGGGGGAAAGAUUUAUCGCCAUUGGAGCGGCCCGCGUCUGAUUAGCUAGUUGGUGGGGUAAAGGCCUACCAAGGCUACGAUCAGUAGCUGGUCUGAGAGGAUGAUCAGCCACACUGGGACUGAGACACGGCCCAGACUCCUACGGGAGGCAGCAGUAGGGAAUCUUGCGCAAUGGGCGAAAGCCUGACGCAGCCAUGCCGCGUGAAUGAUGAAGGUCUUAGGAUUGUAAAGCUCUUUUGUGCGGGAAGAUAAUGACGGUACCGCAAGAAUAAAGCCCCGGCUAACUUCGCGUCAGCAGCCGC